rnacentral:rRNA from 1 species
AACAAACGCUGGCGGCGUGCCUAAUACAUGCAAGUCGAACGGGGAAAGCUUUCGGGUGAGUACUAGUGGCGCACGGGUGAGUAACGCGCGGAUAAUCUGCCUUAGAGUGGGGGAUAACUAGUCGAAAGAUUAGCUAAUACCGCAUAAGACCACAAGAACUGCGGUUCAAGGGGUCAAAGGUUUUUCGCUCUAAGAUGAGUCCGCGUAAGAUUAGCUAGUUGGUAGGGUAACGGCCUACCAAGGCGACGAUCUUUAACUGGUCUGAGAGGAUGAUCAGUCACACUGGAACUGAGACACGGUCCAGACUCCUACGGGAGGCAGCAGUAGGGAAUAUUGCACAAUGGAGGAAACUCUGAUGCAGCGACGCCGCGUGAGUGAUGAAGGCCUUCGGGUCGUAAAGCUCUGUCGCAGGGGAAUAACACAAUGACGGUACCGUAUAAGAAAGGACCGGCUAACUUCGUGCCAGCCGCCGCAGUAACAC